CGCAGGGUGGAGAAAUGGUAUCUCGUCGGGCUCAUAACCCGGAGGUUGCGGGUUCGAAUCCCGCCCCUGCAA
rnacentral:tRNA from 1 species